rnacentral:rRNA from 1 species
GAUGAACGCUGGCGGCGUGCCUAAUACAUGCAAGUCGAGCGAACGGACGAGAAGCUUGCUUUUCUGAUGUUAGCGGCGGACGGGUGAGUAACACGUGGAUAACCUACCUAUAAGACUGGGAUAACUUCGGGAAACCGGAGCUAAUACCGGAUAAUAUUUUGAACCACAUGGUUCAAAAGUGAAAGACGGUCUUGCUGUCACUUAUAGAUGGAUCCGCGCUGCAUUAGCUAGUUGGUAAGGUAACGGCUUACCAGGGCAACGAUGCAUAGCCGACCUGAGAGGGUGAUCGGCCACACUGGAACUGAGACACGGUCCAGACUCCUACGGGAGGCAGCAGUAGGGAAUCUUCCGCAAUGGGCGAAAGCCUGGCGGAGCAACGCCGCGUGAGUGAUGAAGGUCUUCGGAUCGUAAAACUCUGUUAUUAGGGAAGAACAUAUGUGUAAGUAACUGUGCACAUCUUGACGGUACCUAAUCAGAAAGCCACGGCUAACUACGUG